rnacentral:rRNA from 1 species
GACGUGAGGCGCAAGCGUUGUCCGGAAUUUAUUGGGCGUAAAGGAGCUACGUAGGCGGUUUGGUUGCGUUCGGCUGUGGAAAUCCCGAAGGGCUCAACCUCGGGUCUCGCAGUCGAUACGAGCAAACUAGAGUGUUGCAAGGGGAGACGUGGAAGUUCCUGGUGUAGCGGUGAAAUGCGCAGAUAUCAGGAGGAACACCGGUGGCGAAGGCGGGUCUCUGGCAACAACU